GACGAACGCUGGCGGCGUGCUUAACACAUGCAAGUCGAACGGAAAGGCCCUGCUUUUGUGGGGUGCUCGAGUGGCGAACGGGUGAGUAACACGUGAGUAACCUGCCCUUGACUUUGGGAUAACUUCAGGAAACUGGGGCUAAUACCGGAUAGGAGCUCCUGCUGCAUGGUGGGGGUUGGAAAGUUUCGGCGGUUGGGGAUGGACUCGCGGCUUAUCAGCUUGUUGGUGGGGUAGUGGCUUACCAAGGCUUUGACGGGUAGCCGGCCUGAGAGGGUGACCGGCCACAUUGGGACUGAGAGACGGCCCAGACUCCUACGGGAGGCAGCAGUGGGGAAUAUUGCACAAUGGGCGGAAGCCUGAUGCAGAAACGCCGCGUGCGGGAUGACGGCCUUCGGGUUGUAAACCGCUUUCGCCUGUGACGAAGCGGGAGUGACGGUAAUGGGUAAAGAAGCACCGGCUAACUACGUG
rnacentral:rRNA from 1 species